rnacentral:rRNA from 1 species
AACGUAGGAGGCAAGCGUUAUCCGGAUUUAUUGGGCGUAAAGCGCGUGCAGGCGGUUUGAUAAGUUGGAUGUGAAAUCUCCCGGCUCAACUGGGAGCGGUCAUUCAAAACUAUCAGACUAGAGGAUGGGAGAGGGAGGUGGAAUUCCGGGUGUAGUGGUGAAAUACGUAGAUAUCCGGAGGAACACCAGUGGCGAAGGCGGCCUCCUGGACCAUUCCUGACGCUAAGACGCGAAAGCUAGGGGAGCAAACGGGAUUAGAGACCCCGGUAGUCCUAGCCGUAAACGAUGUAGACUUGGCGUUGGCGGAGUUAAAUCUGUCAGUGCCGGAGCUAACGCGUGAAGUCUACCGCCUGGGGACUACGACCGCAAGGUUAAA